AUUGAACGCUGGCGGCAGGCCUAACACAUGCAAGUCGAACGAGUGGCGGACGGGUGAGUAAUGUCUGGGAAACUGCAUGAUGGAGGGGGAUAACUACUGGAAACGGUAGCUAAUACCGCAUACACUCGGCUGUGCCAAGAUGGGAUUAGCUAGUAGGUGGGGUAAAGGCUCACCUAGGCGACGAUCCCUAGCUGGUCUGAGAGGAUGACCGCCCACUCGGGAACGUAGCCACGGCCCAGACUCCUACGGGAGGAAUCAGGGGGGAAUAUGGCACAAUGUGCGCAAGCUUGAUGCAGCCAUGACGCGUGUAUGAAGAAGGCCUUCGGGUUUUAAAGUACUUUCAGCGUGGAGGCGUUACCCGCAGAAGAAGCACCGGCUAACUCCGUGCCAGCAGCCGCGGUAAUUC
rnacentral:rRNA from 1 species